UGCCGGCGAGCGGCGGACGGGUGAGUAACGCGUAGGAAUCUACCUAGUAGAGGGGGACAACAUGUGGAAACGCAUGCUAAUACCGCAUACGCCUUUAGGGGGAAAGCAGGGGAUCUUCGGACCUUUCGCUAUGAGAUGAGCCUGCGUUAGAUUAGCUAGUUGGUAGGGUAAAGGCCUACCAAGGCGACGAUCUAUAGCUGGUCUGAGAGGACGAUCAGCCACACUGGGACUGAGACACGGCCCAGACUCC
rnacentral:rRNA from 1 species